rnacentral:rRNA from 1 species
GAUGAACGCUGACAGAAUGCUUAACACAUGCAAGUCAACUUGAACUUCGGUUUGGGUGGCGGACGGGUGAGUAACGCGUAAAGAACUUGCCUCACAGAUAGGGACAACAUUUGGAAACGAAUGCUAAUACCUGAUAUUAUGAUUAUAUGGCAUCGUAUAAUUAUGAAAGCUAUAUGCGCUGUGAGAGAGCUUUGCGUCCCAUUAGCUAGUUGGAGAGGUAACGGCUCACCAAGGCGAUGAUGGGUAGCCGGCCUGAGAGGGUGAUCGGCCACAAGGGGACUGAGACACGGCCCUUACUCCUACGGGAGGCAGCGUUGGGGAAUAUUGGACAAUGGACCAAGAGUCUGAUCCAGCAAUUCUGUGUGCACGAUGAAGUUUUUCGGAAUGUAAAGUGCUUUCAGUUGGGAAGAAAAAAAUGACGGUACCAACAGAAGAAGUGACGGCUAAAUACGUG